UGCCAAGGAGUCGGGAAGCUUCUGGGUCGCCCGUAGUCAGAGUGGGGGGGGUGCAGAGAAGUCGAGAAGCUUCUGGAAUGCCCACAGCCAGAUAUGAUCAGACUAUAAAAACAGGGUGCCCACUGAGGAUCCCCUUUGUGUGGUGUUCUCGGAGCUGUGGAUCUGUGCUGCCAAAGCCCUCCCCUUAGACUGGGACAUAGUCUAAGGUAACUUCCCGGGAUUGGAAGUGCAUCACCUCCUCGUUUGGCUCAUGAGACAUAACCUGGUAGACAGAACUAGUGAGUAAAUAUUUGUUGGUCAUACCACCCAUGGCAUUCAGCUGUUCACAUGAAAACCCAAUGGAAAAGACAAGACUUCAGCUGCAGUCUGGUACCUGUAUGUGCCAGGCCUAUACCUAAGCCUGCUUUAAAAGAUACAUGGAAUAUGCAUUCAUCUGUUUAUAUUUUAGGAUUUUGAAGACUGGGGGUUGGAGCACUCAUGCCGCUUCUCUUCAGUUCUCUCACUUGUGACGUGGACAGCCAUUGAAAGCAGAAUACAAAGCAAGAGGAGUAUCCUAAUGGUAUAUAUCUACAAAUCGUGUUAUGAGAAAUUUCCUAACACAGGACACAUUCAAAACAGGAAAAAUGACGAACAAAGAUAAUUCAACUUUGUUUUUAAAUAGAAUGUGAAGGUCAGAACUAAUGCUACAUUCUGUGACAAAAGGAGCCUUAUUUGAGGAAAAUUAACCAAAAUCAAGUUCUGCAAUUUCAUAAUAUUUUAUAUGGUUCACUAAACUGUUAUGGUACUGUAGUUCUCUGAUCCUGGGAUUGAUUAUCAGGUUUAUUUUAUAGUCACUAAAAUGAAAUAAAAAUCAUCUGGCAAAAUUUAGAGUGUAUUACUAAUUUGACAAUUUCCCUACUAAAGCACAUAGUUUGUAUUGGUUUUUGGUAAGAAGAAGUUCCAAAACUCAGUGACUUGAUAUCCCCAAGAUGUUUCAGGCAAGUGUCAUUGCAUGAGACCCUUUUAUUAUGCUUUGCAAACUGGCUUAUGACCACUGUUGUAGAUAAAACAUUGGAUUGGAUCUUCAAUGCAACACAUCUAUUCCUAUGUUACGAUGUCUCAUGGACACAUAGAUAUAUUAAUAGUUCAAAGACUAGCCACAUCUUUACAAAACAUAACACUUGAUGUUCCUCUUAACAGCUUAAUAGCUCUCUCAUAUUUGUAUUUGAAAAUUAGAUUAAAACUUAUUUCAAGUAUCUUUCAUUUUUACAGGACAAAGCAUGUAGUUGUGGACUAACAUGUAAAACAGCUAUGCUAUCAAAAGCUCUUUGAAGAACCUGACUUGAUGAAUGACUUAGCAAAAAACAGAAUUGACUGAGUUGGAAAAGUCCUGAGAGAUCAUCAAGUCCAACUCUUGGUCCAACUUCAGUCCAUUUACUAGAUCAUGGCACUAAGUGCCAUCCAUGUCCAAUCCCAGUCUAAAAACCUUCAGGGACGGUGAGUCCACUACCUCCCUGGGCAGGCCAUUCCAAUGCCUGACCACUCUCUCUGUAAAGAAUUUCUUUCUAAUAUCCAGCCUACAUUUCCCCUGGCAGAGUUUAAGCCCAUGCCCCCUUGUCCUAUUGCUAACUGCCUGGGAGAAGAGACCAAUCCCCACCUGGCUAUAACUUCCCUUCAGGUAGUUAUAGAGAGUGAUGAGGUCACCUCUAAGCCUCCUCUUCUCUAGACUAAUCAACCCCAGCUCCCUCAGCCUCUUCCCUUAUGUCUUUGUGUUCAAGUCUCUUCACCAGUCUUGUUGCUCUUCUCUGGACCUGCUCCAGCACUUCAAUGUCUUUCCCGAACUGAGGGGCCCAGAACUGAACACAAUACUCCAGGUGUGGCCUCACCAAUGCAAAGUACAGGGGCAGGAUCACUUCCCUUGUCCUGCUGACCACGCUAUUUUUGAUACAGGACAGGAUACCAUUGGCCUUCUUCAACCUCUAGGUCAAGUCUGAUUUUUGAGCAUUCUUUUUCUAUGGAUAUUCCUCCUCAGCCCUCCCUAAGGCUCUAGAUACUUUUAACCAAAACCUGCCCCGUCUUUUUUCCAUGUUGCCAGCUUUCCUAACUUUCUAGCGGUCCUCAGUUAUAAUCUAACUUUUGAUAAGAUGAUAUCAGCAGCAUUUACCUAAAGGGGAGAAGGAACAGAAAACAGUUGCCAUUAAAAGGAUAGCUAAACAAAAUGGACUCAUAACCAGCACCUCAGACCUCAAACCAUCAAGUCCUAACAGUUGAAGAACAAUGUGUUGUAAGAUUCUCUUAUCCACUAACAUACCAUAUACAGUCUGUGACUCUGCAAUUAGGACAAGAUAAGUUGCAUGCAGUGCACCUACUCAGUGAUUAUAACCAUAAAAUCCUCUAAUAUCGUGGUAACAACAAAUUAGUUUUUAACAGCCUAUCUUGCUCCCCUUGCCUUUGCCAUGAAAAUCCACUUCCAAAAGAUGAGUCCUGAGUUAUGAUCAUAAAAAGGCUGUAUCUUAUACAUAAAUACAAAUGGUUUAAAUUCAAAUACGGUCUAAUGUCUCCACCUACAGACCUGUUUCCCUGAAAAAAAAGAUAUUUUGUAUAAUUGGGGUUUUUUCUUCUUCUUCUUUGGAAAAAACACUUCUAAAUUAACAUAAUCAUAUCUGUCAUAAAUAGAGAAUAAAAAAUGGAACAUUCACACUUAGACUGGCUUGACAGCAUUUUAUAAAUCAUGGUUUUCCUUAUGAUCAGAAGAAACAGUAUGGGCCACUGUCUUUUAUAUUGCAGCUUCCUAUAAAAGAGAUCAAAAAGCGUCACACAAAUUGAUAACUGUCUCCUGUCAGACCUCUUAGCAAAUGAGUAUUUACAAUCCAUAUUACAUGUACGAUAAACUCAAGUAUUUUAAGGGGGAGUGACAUUUAAAGAAGCAAUAGGGAAGUGGAACAUAGUGUUUUAGAUCUUGACUCAGCAAGAGUUCCUGUGCUUAACUUCAUACUUGAAUUACAAGUGUAAAUUGAAUAGCGGUCCUUUCACCUGAUGAGGUUAUUGUUCCAGUUCUUUCAGAAAUAAAGGAAAAGACAAUCCCAUUUACUUCUUAGCAUUUCUUACAUUGCUAUGUUCUUCUGGUUUUGAUUUCCAGCUGAAUCAAAUACAAUUACAGUCAAUGAAAGAGGUGACCUCUGUACCACAAGAAAGCCAGGGCCAGAAUCAUCAGUUAUUAAGUAAAGAUUUAUUGUUUUUUUAAUAAACACCUUUCACCUUCUGUGUCAUAAGAAAGACUCCUACAAACAACAUCUCAGCUGAGUACCAUCAUAACAUGCUUUAUAAGAAACAGGAAUAUAAACAUGCAGAAGUGAUAACAAAAUAAGUUAUAAUUACAGUUUAAUUUUAUAAUUACACCUGCAAUACUGUCUACCCCCACAAGGAUGAACUAAUUUUAAAUCAUGCUUAAAUUUUACUCUUUUUGUAAGAUUAUUCCUCUUCCAUCAGAAUUUUUCCAGAUGAGACAUAUCAACUGAUGAAUGAGGCCAUUAAAAUAUAUGUUCUCCUAGUAGUCAACAUUUGAUCACUUAACCAAGAAAGGCCUCCGUUGUGUUAGUUUUCCCCAAUUACACUUGCCUUCCAGCUGCCAAGGGCUCAGGGUGGCCACUUUGUACUCUUUUCCCAUAAGCUUAACUAUCUUCUUAUGUUCUCAGCUUAAACUCUUUCUAAAUUUAUUUCAGUCAAAUCUGCAAUUGACAUAAAAAACUAUAACAUAAAAGGUAUAGCUUCAAAUUAUAUGAUCAACGGAUGAAACACCCUGGAAAUAAACAGCAGAAGAGCUAAUGCAGUUUUAGGUUAUCUGCUAAAUAUCCUAUUUUUUCUACCCAGUUGAAUAAACUUAUGCCCUUAUUAUCACUUUUA